rnacentral:lncRNA from 1 species
GAUAUAGAGAUAUCGAUAUCGGUGUAGUUCCUAGCACUAACUCAAUGCCAAACUCAACCUUUCAGAUCGGUAGUAAACCCAGUAACUCUUCAAGAAACACAUCCGGAUAUUCACACACAACUGGCACUGAUUCAAUCUUAUUUUCAAUCACUUUUGUAUCAAGCACAUAAGCAAAAUAAGCUUCGCAACCCUUUCUCACAUAUUUCUAAGCUAAUAUCAAUGAAAUCAC